CGGCCCCCUCCUAAGGGGCAGGUCCCAGGUUCGAAUCCUGGUCGGGGCGCCA
rnacentral:tRNA from 1 species